rnacentral:rRNA from 1 species
UUCUUUUAGUCCUAAUUAAAAGUAAGCCCUGCUCAACGUCAACAAGUAGCCGCAGUUUUUCUGUGCUAAGGUAGCGCAAUCACUUGCCUUAUAAUUUAAGGAUAGAAUGAAAGGGUGCCCGAGUUUUAGACUGUCUCAACAAUCAAAAAUAAAGUUAAUUUAAAAGUAAAAAAUCUUUUAUUUACAGAAAGACGACAAGACCCUACAAACUUCCACUAAAGUUUAGCUGGGGCGGCAAAACAAAAACAUCUUACUUUUUCCAGCACACCCCCUUAUUAAAUACACAAGUUACUGUAGGGAUAACAGCACAAUAUUUUUUUAAAGCUCUUAUCCACAAAAAAGAUUGUGACCUCGAUGUUGAAUAAGCUGUCUAUUAAACGCAAAAGAUUAAAAAGAAAGUCUGUUCGACUCUUAAAUGCUUACA